ACCAUCAUCAAUCUAACAUACCCAAUUAUUCAAUAUAAUUUCUAGAUGUCAACCAGCAGCCAACAAGCACAAAAUCAAAAGCUCAAGAAAUCUUAGACAAAUACACAUUGUCUUUCGAAACAAAUACCCUACAUUCUAUCCGUCGUUCUGACUCCAGAUUCAACUGGCAUUUUCUGGUGUUUAUACUGAAAGAUGGUACAACAUUACCCGCACUGCAUUUCCACAGUGGUGGCACAAGAGAGUUUAUUCAGCAUUUGAAUAGAUAUAUAUGGCUUACAAAGUGAGAAUAGAACAUUUCUUCUUAUAAAUCCUUACGCACAUAAUGGCAGGAUGAAUUAAUGACUAAAUUUAUAAAUAAAGUUAGUUUAGUUUAGGUUUCCUUCUGUAGUAACACUGGAUCAAUAAGAGAUGAGCCUUACUGAACCUCUAGGAAGAACAUUUUUGAACUGAUAGAGUUAUACAGUAUAAAUAAAGUUAGUUUAGUUUAGGUUUCCUUCUGUAGUAACACUGGAUCAAUAAGAGAUGACCCUUACUGGACCUCUAGGAAGAACAGUUUAGAACUGAUAGAACUAGUAUAAAUAAAGUUAGUUUAGGUUUCCUUCAGGAUCAAUAAGUGAUUACUUACAGAAUGAAUAUUUUUCUAGGUCUGCAAGCAAUCCAAAGUUAUUUGUUGCAUGCAGCGAGCAUGAUCAUGCUUUGAAAAAAUCUCUGGAUCAUUUACAGUUGUUUGGAUCAGAUAGUGCAGACAUGUUAUCUGUAAGUA